rnacentral:lncRNA from 1 species
UAUAUUCUCCUGAAAAACGUAGAACAGUCCCUUCACCACAACCAAGAAUCCUUUCAUAACAUCUAGUACUCCACCUUGAGCCUUGUAGAUACAGCCAGAUUCAUCCAUAGCUCCAAGUGAGAUCAAAUUCCUCUCAAGAUCAUCCCACAUUUUCAGCUUAAUAACUCCAACAUCCACUACAUCACAAGUGGUGUUAUUUCCUAGCAAAACUUUGCUCCCAUGAUCUGGUUUAUACUCCAAGAAAAGAUCUCUAUUGGAUGUCUUGUGGAAGGCACACCAAGAAUCCAUGAUCCACUCAUCUUUAGGAUCCUUACCAGCCACCGAAAGUACAUCAGCACUCUCAUAGCCAUCUGAGACGUUUACCGAGUCCCCAUUACUACUCUGAUGAUCUUGUUUCUGACUUUUGUUGUGUAUGGAACCUGACAUCUUUGAUUCAUCCUUCAAGGCUUCAUCCACUCCAAGAUUACCAAGAUAUACCAUCAUCUUUUCUCUCCACAGGUUGAAGUCAUUCUUCCCAUCAAACUUUUCAACUUCAAACUUGAACGUAGACAUCAUGAAAGCAAUAUUCUGGCCAGGAAAAUUCUUCCACGAUCGGUGACGAACAAUUAUCAGAAAUUUGAAAAAGAACCUUCAAACCUUUGCAAAUCUUUCACCUAGAUCAUACCCCACGCUCUGCUACCACUGUUAGGAUUUUUACCAAUCUCCCAUGUCCCAGGAAACAAUGAUCAUUUCAUAUUUGCAAUGACAGGAAAAGAAACUUAGCAAUAGCAGAAUAUAAAACCAGUAAAGAACCAGAUUAUGGACUCAAGAAUUGCUUGUUUUCUGGAACAAUUUUCAUCAACCAUUGAAGGGAAUUUACCCCCAGUCAAUCUACCAUUCAAGAGGAAUAUUACAUAGUCUUUAUCUUACCCAAAACACCACCACUCACCACCCAACCGGGAAUAACCAAAAAGCUCCCAGAAAGUUUACAAGGACUUGUGUUACAGAGAAUUCUAUCUCACACUACCUUACUUUCUCUAUCUACAGAUAUCCCCCUCUUGCUCACACUUCACGUAUACAGCCCUCUAUCCUAUUUAUAGACAAAGGAAUGUAGAGAUGUACAAGAAAAUACAUCUAAUAUUCAGCUACAACAACUACCAGAAAAUUAGUUAGAACCAAAGGCUCCUAACUGAUUUUCUAACUCACUAACUAAUCCAACUAAUGAGUUUAAUAACCGAAUUAAGAAUCAAUAUUUU